rnacentral:rRNA from 1 species
GUGGUUUGUCGCGUUGUUCGUGAAAUCUCACGGCUUAACUGUGAGCGUGCGGGCGAUACGGGCAGACUUGAGUACUGCAGGGGAGACUGGAAUUCCUGGUGUAGCGGUGGAAUGCGCAGAUAUCAGGAGGAACACCGGUGGCGGAGGCGGGUCUCUGGGCAGUAACUGACGCUGAGGAGCGAAAGCGUGGGGAGCGAACAGGAUUAGAUACCCUGGUAGUCCACGCCGUUAAACGGUGGGUACUAGGUGUGGGUUUCCUUCCUUGGGAUCCGUGCCGUAGCUAACGCAUUAAGUACCCCGCUUGGGGAGUACGGCCGCAAGGCGUAAACUCAAAGAAAUUGACGGGGGCCCGCACAAGCGGCGGAGCAUGUGGAUUAAUUCGAUGCAACGCGAAGAACCUUACCUGGGUUUGACAUGCACAGGACGCCGGCAGAGAUGUCGGUUCCCUUGUGGCCUGUGUGCAGGUGGUGCAUGGCUGUCGUCAGCUCGUGUCGUGAGAUGUUGGGUUAAGUCCCGCAACGAGCGCAACCCUUGUCUCAUGUUGCCAGCGGGUAAUGCCGGGGACUCGUGAGAGACUGCCGGGGUCAACUCGGAGGAAGGUGGGGAUGACGUCAAGUCAUCAUGCCCCUUAUGUCCAGGGCUUCACACAUGCUACAAUGGCCGGUACAAAGGGCUGCGAUGCCGCGAGGUUAAGCGAAUCCUUUUAAAGCCGGUCUCAGUUCGGAUCGGGGUCUGCAACUCGACCCCGUGAAGUCGGAGUCGCUA